rnacentral:misc_RNA from 1 species
AAGUCGUAACAAGGUUUCCGUAGGUGAACCUGCGGAAGGAUCAUUAUCGAGUUUUUAAAUCCUGCCUUCCUCUGGCUGUGCAUUUUGCUUGCACGCCCGGGCCGGGUAUGGCUCUUUGAACUUCACACACCUGUGCACCUUCGGGCUGCCUGCUCUCCGAUGUUUGUCUUUGCUGCUCUUGUGGCGAAGGUUUCGAGCGCUGCUGGCGACUUCGUGUUGCGCGGCUCGCUUCGGGGAGAGAUAUGGCAUGUCUCGCUUUUUCUUUACACCUUUUUUGUAUGUCAUUGAAUGUUUAUUUCGGUCGCUCUGUGAUGGAGUCGGUCGUAAAAUUAAAUACAA